rnacentral:tRNA from 2 species
GUCCGGGUGGCGGAAUGGCAGACGCGCUAGCUUGAGGUGCUAGUGCCCUUAUGGGCGUGAGGGUUCAAGUCCCUUUCCGGACA